rnacentral:rRNA from 1 species
GUCUACAGCCAUACCACCCUGAACGCACCUGAUCUUGUCUGAGCUCAGAAGCUAAGCAGGGUCAGGCCUGCUUAGUACUUGGACGGGAGAGCACACCUACCUGCUGAAGCAC